rnacentral:lncRNA from 1 species
AGCUCACAAGCUUCCGCAAACCAACAACAUAGGCCAGCAUGGCCAUAACGUAGCUAUAAACCCCACACACUAGUCUGCAAGCCUCUAAGAGUAGUAAAGAUUGGUGGGACAGGGCCCCAGCCUACCCAUAAAGAUAUAUACAACAAAAGUUAACAAACCUCCCAACUCUGGCAGCUCCGGAGGAAAGGGGCUAGCCAACUAGAUAAAAGUCAAUCCUGCUGCUGAGGAGGUCUACUCAGUCGUCUGUCAGGACCUGCAUGCGUGAAUGCAGCGCCCCCAGGCAAUGGGGCGUCAGUACAAAAUAAUGUACAGAGUAUGAAAGGCAAUAGACUAUGAUGAGGUAUCCUGAUAUACUGGAAUAAUCUGAUAAAUAAAUCAAGGAUAAGAUAACUGUACUGACCUGCUCCUAAAUCUAAACGUAUCAAAAAUAAUAAAACAACAACCUAACAGAGCCCCCAUAAGCUCUGCAGGUACAAACAGCACACAAGACCACCUACUCAGGCCCCCAUAAGCCCGGAAGGUGCCAAUCAGUCUAUAUACCCCUAUCGAUAGUCCCUUAGCCCUGUAGGCAAUCACAUAGCCCUCUUAGGCAUUAAUAUAGCCCCAUAACAGCACAUAGUUCUCUUAGGUAUCAACAUAGCUUAUAGACAACUCAUAGCCCUCUUAGGCAACAACAUAGCCAUGUAGGAAGCCCAUAGCCUUCUUAGGCGUCAAUAUAGCCCUAUAGGUAACUCAUAGCCCUUCUAGGCAUCAAUAUAGCCCCGUAGGCAACAUAUAGCCCUUUUAGUUAUCCAUUUAGCCCCGUAGGUUGAACAUAGCCCUUCUAGGCAUAAAUCACAUUCCUGCAGCUAACCAGAAUAGCCCUAAUGGCAAUAAUAACAAUCAAAUCGUUAAAAGCGAGCAAUCUAAGCAACCUGUACAAAUAGCCUCUAAGUCGUUUCCAACAUAGGGACGCUACAAACUGAAUAAGAAUCCCGACAAGGGAGGAUUAUAUCAACCUGAGCAACCAAUAAUCAACAAUAACGGCUACAAGUAUAUCAAGUAUAUUAAGGAACAUGUCGUAAGUAGGGAAUAGCCUUAACAUACCUUUUUCGCUAAAUUCAUGUGGCUUAAAGACUUUAACUCAUAACUCCCUCGAUA